AUGAAGCGAGAAGUCGACGCGCCUCUCGAGGCGUCCGGCCCUCCGCGAGCGCCCACGGGGGUUCGGGCCACGGACCCGGUCCGUUCCCGUUCCCACCGAGGGGCUGUCCGCGUCAGGAGGUGUCCUCGGACGGCGUCGAAUUCCGGUCCGCGACGCUACUGCUUGGAUGGUCCACCCGACCCGUCUUGAAACACGGACCAAGGAGUCUAACAUGCGCGCUAGUCGUUGGGUUCGCGAUGCUAAACCCAUAGGCGCAAUGAAAGUGAAGGCCGCCUUUCCGGCGGCCGAGGGAGGACGGGGCCUCGCCCCCGCACUCCCGGGGCGUCUGAUCCCUCAUCGCGAGGGGAGGCGCACCCAGAGCGCGCACGUUGGGACCCGAAAGAUGGUGAACUAUGCCUGGCCAGGACGAAGUCAGGGGAAACCCUGAUGGAGGUCCGUAGCGAUUCUGACGUGCAAAUCGAUCGUCGGAGCUGGGUAUAGGGGCGAAAGACUAAUCGAACCAUCUAGUAGCUGGUUCCCUCCGAAGUUUCCCUCAGGAUAGCUUGCGCUCGGAGUCGAGUCUCAUCCGGUAAAGCGAAUGAUUAGAGGCCUUGGGGCCGAAACGGCUUCAACCUAUUCUCAAACUUUAAAUGGGUGAGAGCUCCGGCUUGCUCGAUUAACGAAGCCGGAGGCUGGAUCGGAGUGCCUAGUGGGCCACUUUUGGUAAGCAGAACUGGCGCUGUGGGAUGAACCAAACGACGGGUUAAGGCGCCCGAAUCGACGCUCAUGGGAAACCAUGAAAGGUGUUGGUUGCUUAAGACAGCAGGACGGUGGCCAUGGAAGUCGGAAUCCGCUAAGGAGUGUGUAAUAACUCACCUGCCGAAGCAACUAGCCCUGAAAAUGGAUGGCGCUGAAGCGUCGUGCCUAUACCCGGCCGUCGCGGCGGGGCGGAUUCGUUCCGUUCGAUGCUGCGACGAGUAGGAGGGUCGCGGCGGCGUGCGCAGAAGGGUCUGGGCUCGAGCCUGCCUGGAGCCGCCGCCGGUGCAGAUCUUGGUGGUAGUAGCAAAUACUCCAGCGAGGCCCUGGAGGACUGAUGUGGAGAAGGGUUUCGUGUGAACAGCCGUUGCACACGAGUCAGUCGAUCCUAAGCCCUAGGAGAAAUCCGACGCCUACGGCGACGGGAUUUUUUUAACUKAAAGUAACCCGUUGAUCGGGCGAAAGGGAAUCCGGUUCCUAUUCCGGAACCCGGCAGCGGAACCGCUGUUUGUCGGGCCCUCACAAGGGGUUCGUCAGGGUAACCUAAAAGGGCCCGGAGACGCCGUCGGGAGCCCCGGAAAGAGUUUUCUUUUCUGCAUGAGCGUUCGAGUUCCCUG
rnacentral:rRNA from 1 species